rnacentral:rRNA from 1 species
CAGCCGUAAACAAUGCGCGUUAGGUGUGUCGGUAACCACGCGUUACUGAUGCGCCGAAGAGAAAUCGUGAAACGCACCACCUGGGAAGUACGGUCGCAAGGCUGAAACUUAAAGGAAUUGGCGGGGGAGCACCACAACAGGUGGAGCCUGCGGUUUAAUUGGAUUCAACGCCGGACAUCUCACCGGAUAAGACAGCUGAAUGAUUGUCAAUCUGAAGGUUUUACAUGACUAGCUGAGAGGUGGUGCAUGGCGUCAGUGACU